UACGGAGGGUGCAAGCGUUAUCCGGAUUCACUGGGUUUAAAGGGUGCGUAGGUGGGCAGUUAAGUCAGUGGUGAAAUCUCCGGGCUUAACCCGGCAACUGCCAUUGAUACUAUCUGUCUUGAAUAUCGUGGAGGUAAGCGGAAUAUGUCAUGUAGCGGUGAAAUGCUUAGAUAUGACAUAGAACACCAAUUGCGAAGGCAGCUUACUACCCGAAUAUUGACACUGAGGCACGAAAGCGUGGGGAUCAAACAGG
rnacentral:rRNA from 1 species